rnacentral:lncRNA from 1 species
CCCAUUUUUCGAAUUCUGCUUAAUUUGGUUGGAAAUUCGUAAUUGUGCUAAUUUGGGUUUUCUGAGCUGAUUAAGUGUAUUUUGGUUGCAGGGAAAUUUUGGGAAACAUCAUUUGGAGAAUUAGGGAUGGUGGGAUGAUCAUUCAAGACUCAACAUUUAGUCAUUUCCAUUUUAAUAAAGUUGUAAUUUCGUUUUUUUUAGAAACCUUAAUUAGAUUAGGUGUUUUUGGGCCCUUUUAGUGGAAAUUUUGUAGAAGCCCAAUGUGUGGGACACUUGGCACCAAAACCCUAGGGUUUUAGGAGGUGGACCCCACCUAUUUUGAGGUUGGAAAGAAUUUUGAGUAGCAAUUGCCAAGACAAAAACUCUAGCACACUUCAUACUACAUUUUGCUUUGGCUUUGCAUGUAUGAACUCUCUCUUGGGAGCCUUUGGUGUGCCCUUUUCAUUUUUGAGCUUGAACGGACCAAGAUCACGUUUUUCUUCUUCUAUUGGUUUCAAGAAUGUUUGUUCUUGCUUGAUGGAAUGAAGCUCUACCAUUUCUCUCUUUAGAUUUUCGUUUUGAAGGUUGAAUGCUUGGGUUUGAAGCUUUUUCUUUGCUUUUUCAUGGUGGUUUCUUUGGUGGAAGGGAGACCCAUUGUCCAUUUCGGUUUUAUCAUCAUUUUGCUGCAGUAAUCUCGUUUUUACCUUGAGUUUCUUGGAUUGGAGGAUGAAAAUGGAGUUGUUGUCAAGUUUGGUAGUGAAAAAAACUUAAGUUGGUGCAUGGGUAUUGUAGUCUUGAGCCAUU